ensembl:lncRNA
UACAUGUGUAACCCAUGUGAAAUACAGGGCUGCAAAAUCCCUUUUUGUUAUUUAAGGCUAUAGCCUGUUAUUGUCACAAGGGGGUGCUGUGAUGCAGUCUUGUGUUCUGACGACCUUGCGUCUAGUGCGCAGGAAGUAUUACCUGUCUCUUCCUGUGAGAUCUUCCCUCUGAUGGCGGUCAAGUGCGUGUCGGAGCGCACGGAAAAUAAUAUUUUGAUAUGCAAUGCUGCAACUCGGUUAAUGAGACCAGAUUGUUUUAUGUAUAAAUGCUAAUAAGCUACUGUUUUAUUAGGCCCCGAACUCUGACCACAAAGGGAAUAACAUCUGUCAAGUUAUUUGUGUUGGAAAAUCCCGAUUGGUUUUUUUGAACUACCAGAAAGGAUUCUGGAGAACCACUGACGGCGAGAACAGCCCAAAUGAGAUCCUGGAUGAUCGUGAAAUGGUGUGGCCAGCCAUGCGAUCGGAUUGUGGAACUUGCCUGAGAAACUGAUUCAAGCAACCCUGGAUUUCAGAUAAGCCCUAUGCACUACUUUUCCUACCCGGAUAAUAGGGUCUGCACACUGACAAUUCCCCUACAGUACACCUGUUUGGGUUUCAACGACUUUAAAGGACAAUUCAGACUGGACAAUUCAAACUUCACAAGAGGAACACUUUAAUCUGUUUCAUUCAUUCAAAAGAGCUCUGAUACAAUUCAGUAUAAGUCUUCCAUUUAAGUGUCUUUAUUUUAUUUUGUUCUGUUUUACAUCUAUUCACCUUCAAAAUGCACUAUUAGUGUGCAAUUUGGUUUAUUGUGUUGUACAUGUUAUGAAUGGUACUGAGGCAAUAAAGGUCCCAGUUAUUCACUUCCAAGCCAACUCCUUUUGUGAGUCUCCAAAACAAAACCUCCUUCUGAACCUAGAAAGAUGUCUAGGGUCUCUAUUUGAGGUGAAAGUGUACUGGUCCUGAGUAGAGGCGCUACACAUGCUUCACUUAAUUUUGUCAAUAUAUGAAUAAGUGUCAUGGUAUCAUCUACAUAUAGCCAUGCAAAGAUUAUCUGUCACACCGUUGUCAAGAGGACCAGUAAAACUCUGUGUCACUCAAAUUGAUCCAUACAGAGCCUUCAUUCUGCGUUUGCCAUUAAUAGAUACAACCACAGAGCAAUAAUGUGACUUUUUCGAAAAAAUGACUUUUUGUGAAACAGGGAUAUCUUCUUCACCAGUUUCUGGGCAAACUAUUCCUCACCUUAUUAAAAUUUAC